CGGUAAAAGCUCAAAUUUGAAAUCUGGCUCUUUUAGAGUCCGAAUUGUAAUUUAGAGAAGUGCUAUCCGCGCUGGACCGUGUACAAGUCUCCUGGAAUGGAGCGUCAUAGAGGGUGAGAAUCCCGUCUUUGACACGGACUACCAGGGCAUUGUGAUACGCUCUC
rnacentral:rRNA from 1 species